rnacentral:rRNA from 1 species
GUCUACGGCCAUGCCACCUUGAACGUGCCUGAUCCUGUCUGAUCUUGGAAGCUAUGCAGGGUUGGGCCUGUUUAGUACUUGGAUAGGAGACCACUUAGGAAGACCAGAUGCUGCAGGCA